rnacentral:rRNA from 1 species
UACGUAGGUGACAAGCGUUGUCCGGAUUUACUGGGCGUAAAGGGCGCGUAGGCGGCCACCGCAAGUCGGUUGUGAAAUCUCCGGGCUUAACCCGGAAAGGUCAAUCGAUACUGCGGGGCUAGAGUGCAGAAGGGGCAACUGGAAUUCUCGGUGUAGCGGUGAAAUGCGUAGAUAUCAGGAGGAACACCAAUGGCGAAGGCAGCUCGCUGGGACGUGACUGACGCUGAGACGCGAAAGCGUGGGGAGCAAACAGG